rfam:Roseburia sp. CAG:45 genomic scaffold, scf83
UGAAAAAGACUGUUAGGAGCACUUGGAAUUUCGGGCGAAAACAGGCAACGCCGGCACAGGGAAGUGCCGGCGAGGCGCAAUUGAACAUGGAUGUGAAUUGGCGCCGGUUGCCGGGAGGCGCAAGCAACAUGGAUGUUGAUUUGCGCCGGUUGUCAGAACUGAUAAAAAUUUUUUUCAAAAUUCUUAGUGCUCCUUAUAGUCUUUUUCG